UGGGGAAUAUUGCACAAUGGGCGCAAGCCUGAUGCAGCCAUGCCGCGUGUAUGAAGAAGGCCUUCGGGUUGUAAAGUACUUUCAGUCGGGAGGAAGGUGGUAAGGUUAAUAACCUUAUCAAUUGACGUUACCGACAGAAGAAGCACCGGCUAACUCCGUGCCAGCAGCCGCGGUAAUACGGAGGGUGCAAGCGUUAAUCGGAAUUACUGGGCGUAAAGCGCACGCAGGCGGUUGAUUGAGUCAGAUGUGAAAUCCCCGGGCUUAACCCGGGAAUUGCAUCUGAUACUGGUCAGCUAGAGUCGUGUAGAGGGGGGUAGAAUUCCAUGUGUAGCGGUGAAAUGCGUAGAGAUGUGGAGGAAUACCGGUGGCGAAGGCGGCCCCCUAGACAAAGACUGACGCUCAGGUGCGAAAGCGGGGGGAGCAAACAGG
rnacentral:rRNA from 1 species